rnacentral:rRNA from 1 species
AACGAACGCUAUCGGUAUGCUUAACACAUGCAAGUCGAACGGACUAAUUGGGGCUUGCUCCAAUUAGUUAGUGGCAGACGGGUGAGUAACACGCGGGAAUCUACCCAUCAGUACGGAAUAACUUUUAGAAAUAAAAGCUAAUACCGCAUAUUCUCUACGGAGGAAAGAUUUAUCGCUGAUGGAUGAGCCCGCGUCAGAUUAGGUAGUUGGUGAGGUAAUGGCUUACCAAGCCGACGAUCUGUAGCUGGUCUGAGAGGAUGAUCAGCCACACUGGGACUGAGACACGGCCCAGACUCCUACGGGAGGCAGCAGUGGGGAAUAUUGGACAAUGGGCGAAAGCCUGAUCCAGCAAUACCGAGUGAGUGAUGAAGGCCUUAGGGUUGUAAAGCUCUUUUA